rnacentral:rRNA from 1 species
GGUGAACGCUGGCGGCGUGCCUAAGACAUGCAAGUCGAGCGGGCCGCGGGGUUUUACUCCGUGGUCAGCGGCGGACGGGUGAGUAACGCGUGGGUGACCUACCCGGAAGAGGGGGACAACCCGGGGAAACUCGGGCUAAUCCCCCAUGUGGACCCGCCCCUUGGGGUGUGUCCAAAGGGCUUUUCUCGCUUCUGGAUGGGGCCGCGUCCCAUCAGCUAGUUGGUGGGGUGAUGGACCACCAAGGCGACGACGGGUAGCCGGCCUGAGAGGGUGGCCGGCCUAAGGGGCACUGAGACACGGGCCCAACGCCUACGGGAGGCAGCAGUUAGGAAUCUUCCGCAAUGGGCGCAAGCCUGACGGAGCGACGCCGCUUGGAGGAAGACUCCCUUCGGGGUGUAAACUCCUGAGCCCGAGACGAAACCCCCGACGAGGGGACUGACGGUACCGGGGUAAUAGCGCCGGCCAACUCCGUG